rnacentral:lncRNA from 1 species
UCCGUAUGAAACGACAACCAAUGUUCAGUGAUAUGACUUUCCUACUGACUGAAUUGCUUGAAUUAGUUGAAGGUGCGGAGUUACUACAAUACUAAAAGUAGUCAUACUUUUUCUUCGUUCUCAAACAUCUAAUAUAAGGUAUCUUUCUCCAUUGAUAAGAUGCGGCUAUUUGUGCCAGUUACUCUGGCAGCGAUCGUGUUGCCUGUACCUUGUGUUAAGAUACUGUACAAGAAGAAGAAAAUUGACACCCAAGACUUGGAACAGAAAAGAAGGGCGGGCAAGUGUAGUUCAAUAUUUCUCAUUCACACAAGCACACAAGAUAUAAGGAAUUCUAUUCACAUUUUGUAAUGUCAACUUUUAUACACGGGGGCACACAAAGAUGGACUGUCCACUAUUUACUGAAUUUGGCUUAUUUUUGCCCAGAUAACAUCAUUAAAACAAAUCAAAGAGACCUCUGAAAGAUAAGAAGGAAAGACCCGUGAUGACGGCUGGCAUAGAGAUGAUGAGAACAUGAUCAAGUUUGAAUAAUGAUUUUAAAAUUUUAAGUGCAACAACCCCC